rnacentral:ncRNA from 1 species
CUAUCCUCUGGAGAGCUCGGAUGAGCACCGAAGAAGCAGGGAUUUCCCUUAUCUUUCAGGUCAAAGGACAGAGGCG